rnacentral:lncRNA from 1 species
GUGAAAGGCUGGUCUUGAAGAGCCUAGGUUCACUCAUGACUUAGUGUGCAAGACCGGCUCUCCUCUUUCAACAAUGUUCUAAGAGUGGGAUUUUCGCUUUUCUGGAUUUCCCACCAAUUCCUUAGAUCCCUAGUCUUAGAGCUAAAGGAAGUCCUCUAACUAAUCUAAUCCACCGAAGGAGAAGGCGGAGUUCUCUUUCCUCUGCUAUCAAUAAUAAGGAAUACCAGGCUGCCGUUAAGGUAGCUCACCCGGCUCAACAAUAGAAAUCCCUGCAGUUCAGCCACCCGCGGCUAAUUCAAUUCACUCUUCUUGAAGCUCUUGUGAAAUGGUCUCUGUCCUUCGCUUUCCCUUCCAUUCUUAUGGUAACUAGGCCUGAUAGCAUCUUUGCUAGUCUU